CCUACGGGUGGCAGCAGUAGGGAAUUUUGCGCAAUGGGGGAAACCCUGACGCAGCAACGCCGCGUGAUCGAUGAAGCCCUUCGGGGUGUAAAGAUCUGUCAGUGGGGACGAAACCUGACGGUUCCCACAGAGGAAGCACCGGCUAACUCCGUGCCAGCAGCCGCGGUAAUACGGAGGGUGCGAGCGUUAAUCGGAAUUACUGGGCGUAAAGCGCUCGUAGGCGGGAUGUCAAGUCAAGGGUGAAAUCCCCGCGCUCAACGUGGGAACUGCCUUUGAAACUGGCAAACUGGAGUGUGUGAGAGGAUAGUGGAAUUCCAGGUGUAGGAGUGAAAUCCGUAGAUAUCUGGAGGAACAUCAGUGGCGAAGGCGACUAUCUGGCACAUAACUGACGCUGAGGAGCGAAAGCGUGGGUAGCAAACAGGAUUAGAUACCCCAGUAGUC
rnacentral:rRNA from 1 species